UUUAAAGUCUAAUCUGCCCUAUGAGGAUUUAAAUGGCCGCGGUACUUUGACCGUGCAAAGGUAGCAUAAUAAUUAGUUUUUUAAUUGAAAGCUGGAAUGAAUGAUUGGACGAGAAAAUAACUGUCUCAAUUUAAUUUUUUUUUAGAAUUUUAUUUUUAAGUAAGAAAGCUUAAAUUUAAUUAAAAGACGAGAAGACCCUAUAGAGUUUUAUAUUUAAAUUUAUUAUUAGUUUUUCAGAAUUAUUUUAUUAAUAUUAAAUUAAAUAUUUUAUUGGGGCGAUAGAAAAAUAUUAUUAACUUUUUUUAUUAUUAAUUCAUUAAUUUAUGAAUCAGUGAUCCAUUUUUUAUGAUUAAAAGAAUAAGUUACCUUAGGGAUAACAGCGUUAUUUUUUUUUAGAGUUCUUAUCGAAAAAAAAGAUUGCGACCUCGAUGUUGGAUUAAAAUAUAUGUUUGGUGUAGAGGCUAAAUAAUUAGGUCUGUUCGACCUUUAAAAUUUUACA
rnacentral:rRNA from 1 species